GGUUCCGUGGUCAAGUGGUUACGACUUAUCAUUGUGGUUCUCCCUUCUACUCCCUGAUACAACCCGUGUUCGAUUCACGGCGGAGCCA
rnacentral:tRNA from 1 species